UACCCUUAGGUGGGGCAUAAACCCGGGAAACUGGGGCUAAUUCCCCAUAGAUACAGAAGGCUGGAAUGCCUCUGUAUUCAAAGCUCCGGCGCCUAAGGAUGAGUCUGCGACCUAUCAGGUAGUAGUCAGGGUCACGACCUGACUAGCCAACGACGGGUACGGGGUGUGAGAGCACUUGCCCGGAGAUGGUUUCUGAGACACGAAACCAGGCCCUACGGGGCGCAGCAGGCGCGAAAACUUCGCAAUGCGGGAAACCGUGACGAGGGAACUCCAAGUGUCUAUGCAAUGCAUAGACUGUUUUUCAGCCUAAAUAGCUGUUAGAGUAAGGGGUGGGUAAGACCGGUGCCAGCCGCCGCGGUAACACCGGCACCCCGAGUGGUAGCCACUAUUAUUGGGCCUAAAGCGUUCGUAGCCGGUUUAGUAAAUUCUUGGGUAAAUCGUACAGCUUAACUGUGCGGAUUCCGGGGACACUACUAGACUUGAGACCGGGAGAGAUUAGAGGUACUUGCAGGGGAGCGGUGAAAUGUUGUAAUCCUGCAGGGACCACCAGUGGCGAAGGCGUCUAAUCAUAACGGCUCUGACGGUGAGGAACGAAACCCUGGGGCGCAAACGGGAUUAGAUACCCCGGUAGUCCAGGGCGUAAACGCUGCUGACUUGGUGUUGGAGAUCCUACGAGGGUGUCCAGUGCUGGCGCGAAGGUAUUAAGUCAGCCGCCUGGGGAGUA
rnacentral:rRNA from 1 species